UACGUAGGGUGCUAACGUUGUUCGGAAUCACUGGGCAUAAAGAGCGCGUAGGCGGUCUGAUAAGUCAGGUGUGAAAUCCCCCGGCUCAACCGGGGAACUGCACCUGAUACUGUUGGGCUUGAGUGCAGGAGGGGAGAGCGGAAUUCCUGGUGGAGCGGUGAAAUGCGUAGAUAUCAGGAGGAACGCCGGCGGCGAAAGCGGCUCUCUGGCCUGUUACUGACGCUGAGGCGCGAAAGUGCGGGGAUCAAACAGG
rnacentral:rRNA from 1 species